GAUGAAGGAACGUAGCGAAAUGCGAUACUUGGUGUGAAUUGCAGAAUCCCGUGAACCAUCGAGUCUUUGAACGCAAGUUGCGCCCGAAGCCUCGGCUAAGGGCACGUCUGCCUGGGCGUCACGCAUCGCGUCUCCCCCAAACCGCCAAGGCGGAGGGGAAGGAAGAUGGCUUCCCGUGCCUCACCCGGCGCGGUUGGCCUAAAUUUGGAGCCCGCGGCACUUAGCUCUCGCGGCGAUAGGUGGUGAACAAGGCCUUGGCCGUGCAAACAACCCGCUGCGAAGCUCUAUGUCACGUGCGCUCGUCGGACCCUUUGAAGUUGCCUUCGGUGACUUAAAACCUUUGCGACCCCAGGUCAGGCGGGGCUACCCGCUGAAUUUAAGCAUAUCAAUAAGCGGAGGA
rnacentral:misc_RNA from 1 species